CCGAGUGGCGAACGGGUGAGGAACGCGUGGACAACCUACCCCGGCGUGGGGGAUACCCGCCAGAAAUGGCGGCUAAUACCGCGUACGGUUCUCCGGCGAAGGGCUGGGGAAAGAAAGCAGUAAUGCGCGCUGGGAGGGGUCUGCGGCCGAUUAGCUUGUUGGCGGGGUAACGGCUCACCAAGGCGAUGAUCGGUAGCUGGUCUGAGAGGAUGAUCAGCCACACGGGGACUGAGACACGGCCCCG
rnacentral:rRNA from 1 species